UGUGGGCCUCAACGAGGCGAGAGAAAAACCCGACCCGGAAGCCCACGACCUUACCUCCCAUCUCCGCCAAUAGUGCGCCGCCGCCGCGUGCUGCCACCACCGGCCCCCGCCCCUCUGCCGCGCGCCGCCACUGCCGGCCAACGCCGUCACGCCCACCCCUACCCGACGCACCUUCCCCAACUCAUCUUUCCCCUCCUCCUCUGCCGCUGCCGCUCUCCAUCGGCCGACCAACUCCCUCGAGUCAGCGCUGUCUCCUCCAUCUGGUUCCUGCUCGAUCUCCUGCAGGUCCAGAUCCUCCACAAUCUCGCACGACGGGAGAGGAGCCUCCGCGUGCUUCUUGUCGGGCGACAGCGCGGCCGUGCGCCCCAACUCCUGAUGGAUUUCCAGUGUGUUGCUGGCCUCCCAAUUUUUUUCCGUCGUGCAGCCGCUCCACGUCUCCCUGCGUCGUCUCAAGAUGGUUUGGCUGGGCGCCGCCCUGACGGCCGAGCGUGUGCUAUCCAAGGAAGAUGGCUCCUCCACCCAGGCCCUCCUCCACAAUGCCGGUGAGGACACUACUUCGUCCGAACGAUCAUCACCACCACGCACAGGUACACACACAUGUGCUCCCCUGCCAGGCUGCCGCCCCUGCACUGAUUUAAGGCGAAAUCCAAUUGGGAGGUAUUGAUAGGCACCAAUGUAUUCUUCGUUGAGUUCCCAUGUCUUGAAUUACGUUGAUCCUUUUGGUAAGAUCAAACCGAACAAACUGAACAUCACUUGCCCAAACAAGCUUUACAUCAUGCUACAUUAUUGUAGUUACCGGGACUUUGUGUUCUUUGUACAAAACAGCAAAGACCUCAAUCACUUAUUCGUAGAGCACAAGCGAAGACAUCCUUCUUUGAGUCCACAUAUAUGUUUAGUUUUUUUAAGUGAUUUUGAAAUUUCAGAAGCUCUAUGGCACAUGUAACAGGUCUUGGGUAUGAUGGCCAGACGCGAUGAGGAGGACAUACUCGAUCCCCAUGGACGACAAGGAUUCGAGGACAUUGGUAGAUGCAGGGGAGGCAAUGAGGACGGAGAUGAUUGCGGCACACAAUUUAAAUAAACCUGAAUAUCCUGAAAAAUAUAUUUGGUGUAUAGAAUUCAGUUUUAGUCUCUGCAUACAUUUUCAUGAUUCACUAACUCCAAUAUUAUAAAACUAUGUGACAAUGUUUGUUAGAUUUUUGUGUCUGCCAUGCGUCCCAACGAUUCCACCGGCAUCGGCCCUCCCCUGCCUUGCUACAGACCGCAGUAUCAGCGGUCUCCUUGGAGUACUGAAGCAGCUCGACGGCAUCGUCCUUGGUGCGCCCCCUCAAGGCUUGAUGCUUUCUACAGGAAAAAAUGGCUCCUUUCUUUGAGAUGAGGAAAAUUACUUCCCUUUCUACAGGAAAAGAUUGUUUUGUUUGAUAAAUGUGUUCCCAAGUUAAAGGCCCAUGGCUCCGAAGUACUAAUAUUCUCUGAGGAGCACCAUAACAUGUGAAAAAUUCGAAGAGCUUUGUGAAGAUUUGUGGGAGCAGCUCUAAUUCCAAUUAAAGAAGUCCCACACAGCGGGCAUGAAGAUUGGUCACAUCUAUAUGUACAGUAGAGUUGAUAGGACUUACACGGCACCCAAACUGUAGGUGAUUAUACUCUUCACUGAAGACUUAUACUUUGAGAGGCUGUAAUGGUAAUGCAGGAAUGUUGCAUGGUUCCUAUCUACCAUCGACCAUCA